GUCAGUACCUUCAUGAUCUGCACAGCUUUGAUCCAGCCACACAGAAGUUUUUUCAGUUGCUCAUUAUAAAAGCAAUGAUGGUAAAUUCUGGAGGUUAAGAACACAAUUAAUUCCAUGUAUUGUGACUCAAAAGCAGCCAGAGUUUCAACAAGCCUUAGCAGUCAAAUGCUUAAUGGAUUUGAUGACCAAUACAACCAUGAUGCUGAUCCUAUAAGUGCAAGGUGGGACCAACAGGU